UCCUAGCAUGUAGCAAUGCAUUAGUAUGAUUCCUUGCCGGACCACUAUCAACUUGCUAUCAAUAGUAGUUUAAAAAUCCAUUCAGGAGAUCAACCACGGAGUUCCAUGCCUUUAAAAUUCAAUUAAUCUUGAUGUGAACUUGCUGUGGGAGAAAGGUGUACCAGUGUACCUGAAACACACAAAUAAUCCUGGAACAGUAUUUGUUGACUACUUAAACCUUUGCCUUGGGCUGUAAUUAACUGGCCCUAGGUGUCUCCUACACGACUGACUAGACCUAUCUACGUGACACCUUUGAUUUUUGAACACUACCACGUUUCUUAUUAACCUCUUGAAGGUUAAGAAUACUUAACUUUUAAAAUAAAGAUGCUCCGUGCAUCUAAUCCAGCGUUGAUCUUCCUCUGCCUGCGUUGAUCGGUGAUUUCCUUUGAUUCCAGCGUUGUCUUGAGUCUUGAUGUGUUUAAUUAUUCUGGUUCUUUAUCCAAUUCCUUGGUUUAGAACUUUAUUUCUCGGCUAGUGCUGUUCUGCUAGCCAUCCUCUCUCUCUGCCUGCUCAGAGUGCUCUGGCGGCGUUCCUCUUUUAUUCUCAUACGCGCUGCGCGCGCCGCUCAUGCGCAGUGGGUUACCCCCACUCCUUCCUUUUCGCCUCUUUCCGUGGGGACGCCGGCCGUUGGCGCGAACUCCCUCUAACGGUCAUCGCCAUCUUGGCUUCGUACCGGUCUGAGCUACUGAUCCGCUCUACAGUUUUGUGCAAUUCUCGUCUUGCUUUUUCCGACAAUGGCGCCCCGUGUCUUGAUCAAUCACUACACUGGUUAUAAUCUGAACGACCGAGAAGUUCAGAAAGUAAGUAUUAGUCUUUAAAUUCUCCCGUUCGCUUAGAUUUCCAUUGGGCCGUUAAGGUGCCUUAGAGUGCUAAUGCUCCGUGUCUUUUUAGAUCUGUGGAAAGUGUAUCCAAGCUACAACUGGGCACCCUCUCUGGAUCGUUUUUAAUCCCUCCUAUAUUGUCUUGGACGUUUAUGUCCCUGCGUUCAUUCUCGUGGACGAGGAGUUCUAUAAAUGUGGCUGUUGUCUGGGGAAAUGCUACAUGGUGAUUCCUCCACAUGGAAAUCCUCCAGACAAAAAUGAGUAUGUUGUGCCGCAAGUCCCGCCCCCCGGGCGUCGAGUACCCGGCUCUUGACCCUGCUCUAGUGGAUCUAAUUUUGGAUAACCAGGAUUUUGAGGACAUCCUUCAUGACGUUGAACAUGGUCAAGAUUUCGACAUGAUCGAUUUGGUCAGCGACGAUGAAGAAGACGUUAUCGUCCUAAACUGAGAUCUUCCGCUUCAAUGGGGUUGCCCCUGCCCCCGCCCCCGCCUUCUUGGUGGAGGAGUGAGGAUGUGAUAUUAGGCUACUUUUGUUAUUGUUACCAUUUGCCUAAUGGAUUAUUUAUUCUGCUACUCGC